rnacentral:rRNA from 1 species
AUUGAACGCUGGCGGCAGGCCUAACACAUGCAAGUCGAGCGGAGCGGCGGACGGGUGCGUAAUGCCUAGGAAUCUGCAUGGUCGUGGGGGAUAACGUCCGGAAACGGGCGCUAAUACCACAUACUAUCAGAUGAGCCUAGGUCGGAUUAGCUAGUGGGUGGGGUAAAGGCAUACCAAGGCGACGAUCCGUAACUGGUCUGAGAGGAUGAUCAGUCACACUGGAACUGAGACACGGUCCAGACUCCUACGGGAGGCAGCAGUGGGGAAUAUUGGACAAUGGGCGAAAGCCUGAUCCAGCCAUGCCGCGUGUGUGAAGAAGGUCUUCGGAUUGUAAAGCACUUUAAGUUGGGAGGCGUUACCAACAGAAUAAGCACCGGCUAACUUCGUGCCAGCAGCCGCGGUAAUUC